GACUGCACUAACAGGUGAUCCCAUGGCGCAUCCUGACUUCUGAUGAUAGUGUGUCUCAUUGAAUUUAAAGUAACAAUUGUUAAGUAGGAAUUUUAAUAGUUUCACAACUUGUUCUUCUUUCAGUGCUGUAUGUGACUUCCAUGAAUCAGUUUCUUUAAGUUUCUUUUGUACAAUAUGCAAGGCAAACGGAACAGGUAUGGAUGUGAAUAAGGACACAACAUCAAAAGAGACGAUCGUUUCAUCCGUCCCUAACGUUUGACUUUUGGCAAAAUCAGCGAAUUCUUUCCCAUUACUUAUAGAAAACUCGUUUUUUGCGCAAAAGGUCUUUAACAAUUUUGCAAGGUAUUUUGAUAGGGAAUAUGUAGGUGAACCAAUGUUGCUGUUAAUUGGACGUAAAGGAAUGACGUCCACAGAACUUUCGCCCAGGGUAUAGUGGUCUUGGUUGCAGAUGAGAGACACUUUAUGGACUUUUGGCAAACCAUAAAAUGUAGCAGGGGAAGAAUCAAAAGCUCGUAGCUGCCAAUAUUCUCUAUCAGUUAUGUUUUCCGAGCGUCGAAGCUCUUUCAGUAUAUUCUCUAAGUCAGUUUCAACUGAGUCAGUUAGACCAGCUUCAACUCCAAAACUAUCAUGUAUUCCACUGGUCGCCCCAACAGCAUAU
rnacentral:lncRNA from 1 species